GUCCAUCUCUCUCAUGAUACUGUAAACCACUCGUUCAAAGUAAAGUUUCUAGCUUGUACUCUAUUUGUGUCAAAAUAUGUUUUGAUUCCUUGAUUUGCAUAUAUAACAGUGUGUACCCACGGGACGUAUGGACCUGACUGUCAGAAGAGAUGCGGGAACUGUACUAAUGGACCGUCUAUCUGUAACACAAUAUCCGGGCACUGUCCACAGGAAAGGCCCAUUUGCAUGCCGGGAUACUCACCUCCGAAAUGUGACACAGAAUGUACAAACAACACGUGGGGGAACGAUUGUGUACAGUCAUGUGGACACUGUUACAACAAAACCGAGUGUGAUGCAAUCACUGGUGAAUGUCCCGUAGUGGUGGGGAAUCCCCAGUGUGACCCUGGAUAUUCCGGAAAUGAUUGUAUGACAAAAGACAAAGUGUCGCUUGUAAGUGAGGUUGACCCUGCGAGUAUAGGUGGUGGAUUGGCCGCAGCUGUGGUGCUCAUCGUCAUAGUUGUUGUUGUCAUUGUCAUAGCUAGG